rnacentral:rRNA from 1 species
UAGGGAAUCUUCGGCAAUGGGGGCAACCCUGACCGAGCAACGCCGCGUGAGUGAAGAAGGCUUUCGGAUCGUAAAGCUCUGUUGUAAGAGAAGAACGUGUGUAAGAGUGGAAAGUUCACACAGUGACGGUAACUUACCAGAAAGGGACGGCUAACUACGUGCCAGCAGCCGCGGUAAUACGUAGGUCCCGAGCGUUGUCCGGAUUUAUUGGGCGUAAAGCGAGCGCAGGCGGUUUAAUAAGUCUGAAGUUAAAGGCAGUGGCUUAACCAUUGUUCGCUUUGGAAACUGUUAAACUUGAGUGCAGAAGGGGGGAGUGGAAUUCCAUGUGUAGCGGUGAAAUGCGUAGAUAUAUGGAGGAACACCGGUGGCGAAAGCGGCUCUCUGGUCUGUAACUGACGCUGAGGCUCGAAAGCGUGGGGAGCAAACAGG